UAAAGUCCAACCUCUUUGGUGGUCAAGAAUAAAAUCCUACAAAAAUAUUCAAUUACCCAGUUGCAUUCCCACAUGCAUCACACGAAUCAUCCAUACAUGGUUUUCCUACCAAACAGAAAAUUCAAAAAAAACACAAUCAUAUCAAUCAUCAGCAUACUUAUGCAUAACCUUAUACAAAAUAAAAAUCAUUCGCAUUCCUACAUGCACAGCCA
rnacentral:lncRNA from 1 species